CACCCCCCAAGCUUUGCUUGAUGUUGGGCGAUGAGCGUUGGCGCACGCCCCAAACCUCUGGGCGCCUACCGCCGGCCGCUAGCGUAGCAAUCUCUACUCGUUAGCGUGUCCGUCGGGGAGGCCGCCCCUUGAAAAACACAACUUCCAAAAG
rnacentral:misc_RNA from 1 species